rnacentral:rRNA from 1 species
GAGUUUGAUCGUGGCUCAGGAUUAACGCUAGCGGCAGGCCUAAUACAUGCAAGUUGAACGGGAUUUCGGGUAGCAAUAUCUGAAUGAGAGUAGCGCACGGGUGCGUAACACGUAUGCAACCUACCUAUAACUGGGGGAUAGCCUCCCGAAAGGGAGAUUAAUACCGCAUAAUAUUAUUGAGUGGCAUCACUUGAUAAUUAAACCUCAGGGGGUUAUAGAUGGGCAUGCGUCCGAUUAGCUAGUUGGUGAGGUAAUGGCUCACCAAGGCUACGAUCGGUAGGGGGUCUGAGAGGAUGAUCCCCCACACUGGUACUGAGACACGGACCAGACUCCUACGGGAGGCAGCAGUAAGGAAUAUUGGACAAUGGGCGCAAGCCUGAUCCAGCCAUGCCGCGUGAAGGAUGAAGGCCCUAUGGGUCGUAAACUUCUUUUAAACGGGACCGAAACCCCUCGACGUGUCGAGGGCUGACGGUACCGUAAGAA